rnacentral:rRNA from 1 species
GACGAACGCUGGCGGCGUGCUUAACACAUGCAAGUCGAACGAUGAAGCCUAGCUUGCUCGGUGGUUUAGUGGCGAACGGGUGAGUAAUACGUGAGUAACUUACCUUUAACUCUGGGAUAAGCCUGGGAAACGGGGUCUAUUACCGGAUACGACCAAUCUCCGAAUGGGGUGUUGGUGGGAAGCGCUAUGUGGUGGUUAUAGAUGGUUUCAGGGCCUAUCAGCUUGUUGGUGAGGUAACGGCUCACCAACGCGACGACGGGUAGCCGGCCUGGGAGGGUGAACAGCCACCCUGGGACUGAGACAGGGACCAGAGUCGUACGUGAGGCAACGGUGGAGAGUCUUACCCAAUGAGCGCGAGCGUGAUACAACGACGCCGGGUGUGUGAUGACGGCCUUCGGGUUGUAAACCGCUGUUAGCAAGUAAGAAGAGAUAUUGACGGUACCUGCAGAGAAAGCGCCGGCUAACUACGUG